UCUUCCUCCCUCACUUCCUCCCUCUCGCUGCUUGGAGUCCAUGUCCAUCCAAGAAGCACAUCAGGCUUGGAACAGAGGUGGUGGGACAUGGGGCCACCUCAUCACUGAAGUCCACAGGAGCAGGAACAUGAAGAGCCUGGACAAUCAAGAAGGUGGGAACAUGGACCCUGUGAACGUUUCUUCGUAUGCCCUGCGUUAAGUGCCGAUGCUAUUCAAGUGUUUGAGACGUGGUCCCUGGUCCUUUAGGAGUUCCCCCUUCGUGAAGAGACAGAUGUGCCAAUAAUGAACUAGAGGACAAGGCCUUCUGAAGAGGGAGAAGAGAAGGGAAGAUCUCCAAAGAAGAAAACAGUCUGACAAGACGUGGGAAAAAACGAGACUCCAAGUAAAAGGAUGGGCCCAGGAGUUCCUUUGCCCAGAAAUGACAGAGUUGGGAUUGCAACUCAGAUAUUUGAAAUCUAAGGCCAGAGCAGCCCUUUCCUUUCAUUCGGAGGUGCUCCUGUUUCUAAGACAACAGUGCUUGAAUGCGUACUGCCUGAGGGGCAGCCCAAGUUGGACCCAGGGGAUCACGGUCGAUGCCACUGCUAGGGGUCUGCAAGGAACAAGAA